AUUGAACGCUGGCGGCAGGCCUAACACAUGCAAGUCGAGCGGAUGAAGGGAGCUUGCUCCUGGAUUCAGCGGCGGACGGGUGAGUAAUGCCUAGGAAUCUGCCUGGUAGUGGGGGAUAACGUCCGGAAACGGGCGCUAAUACCGCAUACGUCCUGAGGGAGAAAGUGGGGGGUCUUCGGACCUCACGCUAUCAGAUGAGCCUAGGUCGGAUUAGCUAGUUGGUGGGGUAAAGGCCUACCAAGGCGACGAUCCGUAACUGGUCUGAGAGGAUGGUCAGUCACACUGGAACUGAGACACGGUCCAGACUCCUACGGGAGGCAGCAGUGGGGAAUAUUGGACAAUGGGCGAAAGCCUGAUCCAGCCAUGCCGCGUGUGUGAAGAAGGUCUUCGGAUUGUAAAGCACUUUAAGUUGGGAGGAAGGGCAGUAAGUUAAUACCUUGCUGUUUUGACGUUACCAACAGAAUAAGCACCGGCUAACUUCGUG
rnacentral:rRNA from 1 species